rnacentral:snoRNA from 1 species
CCCCUCUCAGGGUCGCACCUGGAGAGUUUCCAGUACUUCAGCAGUUUCGACUAUGAGAGCGAGAGUCAAGCAGAGGCCUACCCAUUCCAUUCCUAGCUUGAGCAGUGGCUAGCGAGUGUAAGGCAAUCUGCUACAAGU